GCCAUGCACCACACUUCCCAGACCUUCUUCACUCGGGCCAGCGCCGGCGCCCCCCUGAACUAUGAGAUGCUCAAGGAGGAGCACGAGGUGGCCAUGCUGGGGACGCCCCACGGCCCUGCUCCCACGACGUCCACCGUGAUCCACAUCCACAGUGACACCUCCGUGCCCGACCACGUCGUCUGGUCCCUGUUCAACACGCUCUUCCUGAAUGUCUGCUGUCUGGGCUUCAUCGCCUUCGCCUGCUCCGUGAAGUCUAGGGACAGGAAGAUGGUGGGCGACGUGACCGGGGCCCAGGCCUCCGCCUCCACCGCCAAGUGCCUGAACAUCUGGGCCCUGAUCCUGGGCAUCCUUGGGACCAUUGGUGUCAUCCUCGUUCUGGUCUUGAUCUUCGUGGUGUUUCAGUAG